CCUAGACCUAGAAGACAGAAGAAAUAGAGAAGUGCUUUUGGUUCAUAAAUUUUAUUGGGGCUUGCAAGAAACAGAGAAUAAAGGCAUGGCACACAUGUUGGGAAAACCAUACCUGACCCUCUUGGGUGUGGAGCUCUAUUCAUCUGGCUAAAACUCCUGGUACAGUAUUGAACUGAAAUAGUUGAAGCAGACAUCCUUGUCUUGUUCCUGAAAUUAAGGCAAGAGAGAAAAUCCAAAAUUCUUCAUUUGGGCCAGAACCAGAGUUGUUGACCCAGGUAUUUGAAACCCAUAAAUAAAAUUUUCUUAGGGGUCAAUUUGUUGGAAAUGACCAUAUCAGGCCAAGUUCAUGAACAUGAGUAUACUUCUAUCCAUCUUCAAAGGUAAUGCAAUUACUACAUUAUAUUCAUAUUAAUAAUUUAGGUUUGGCUGAGCUUCUCUUUUUCACUUAACUAAGAAAAUGUGGAGCCUAUCUAUCCUAACUCACUAUUGAUAGUGUACUUCCUUUCCAGGGGCCAACCCUUGUUCCAAAGAGAGAGGGUCUGUGCUUCAGGGGAGUAACAGAUGAUGGAGUAUGAAAAACACCUG
ensembl:lncRNA